rnacentral:rRNA from 1 species
AGUGAACGCUGGCGGCGUGCUUAACACAUGCAAGUCGAACGAGAACGGAUUAUAGCUUGCUAUAAUUGUCAGCUAAGUGGCGCACGGGGGAGUAAUGUAUAGGUAAUAUGCCUCUUACUAAGGGAUAACAAAUGGAAACGUUUGCUAAUACCUUAUACUCCUUAUUAACAGAAGUUAAUAAGGGAAAGAUUUAUUGGUAAGAGAUUAGCCUGUAUUGUAUCAGUUAGUUGGUGGGGUAAUGGCUUACCAAGACUAUGACACAUAACUGGUUUGAGAGGAUGAUCAGUCACACUGGAACUGAGACACGGUCCAGACUCCUACGGGAGGCAGCAGUGGGGAAUAUUGCACAAUGGACGAAAGUCUGAUGCAGCAACGCCGCGUGGAGGAUGACACAUUUCGGUGCGUAAACUCCUUUUAUAUGAGAAGAUAAUGACGGUAUUAUAUGAAUAAGCACCGGCUAACUCCGUGCCAGCAGCCGCCGUAAUAC